ACUAAAUGAGAGGAUAUGCCCUCAAACGACGAGUAUAGGAAAUGAUUAUACUGAGAGAUAAUUAAAUUUCUGCAUUCUUAUAACGACAUUCUCCUAGACACGCAUAUUUCAUACUCUGUAAAACAGUAUAGAUACCCUUAACAAGGAUCCUUGUUUUUGUUUAAUGCAGUCUUCAUAUUUUGUGAGAGUAAUUUAAUUCUGGCUUUAUGGACAAAUAAUCAACUGCAUUUCCAAUACCUAUUGCUGCACUUUGGAAGCCUUGAGACUUAAGAGCACACCAUUAGUUGUUUUUUGUUGCUUAUAAAGAAUUUAAGAAACGGCAGAUGGACUUGAAACUUGAGAAUAAUUGUAGCAACGAAUACUUAAAGCCAUUCAUGAUUCAUGUUAUUACUGUUGUUAAUGGUAAGAUUCGUAGUAAUCAAUUAAAGUUCUGUGCUUAUCGUAUGUAAAUUUUGCUUAUCAUAUGUAAAUUUAACUACAAGGGGGAAGGAGAAUCAGGGUGGGUGGGGUAUAGUAACAGUUAUCUUGUUGAGCCAUUUUUUUCCUGGAGUUCACCUGUAACUAGAGGUGGCAAUAUGGUUGCAAAACCAUUAAACCAAUCCAAACCAAACCAAAUUUAUGAAUUUGGAUCAAUAUAAAAUCACAUUUAGGAAAAUGGAUUUGGUUUGGUUUCUAGUCUCACAUUUCUCACAAAAUAUGGAUCUAACUAUAUUUGUGUCUCAUUUUUAAAAUUUCUUAUAACUCUUCACACACACAAAUGGUGAUUCGAACUGAUGACCUUUCUUGGAGAAGCCAAGAGCUUGAACCACUACAUCAACUCACACACCCACACAUGCUAUUGUUAUAUUUACCAUUCAUUACAUUGUCA
rnacentral:lncRNA from 1 species